rnacentral:rRNA from 1 species
AGAACGAACGCUGGCGGCAGGCCUAAUACAUGCAAGUCGAGCGCCCAGUAAUGGGAGCGGCGGACGGGUGCGUAACACGUGGGAACGUACCCUUUGGUUCGGGAUAACUCAGGGAAACUUGAGCUAAUACCGAGUAAGCCCGAGAGGGGAAAGAUUUAUCGCCAAAGGAUCGGCCCGCGUUCGAUUAGCUAGUUGGUGGGGUAAUGGCUCACCAAGGCAACGAUCGAUAGCUGGUUUGAGAGAACGACCAGCCACACUGGGACUGAGACACGGCCCAGACUCCUACGGGAGGCAGCAGUAGGGAAUCUUGGACAAUGGGGGAAACCCUGAUCCAGCCAUGCCGCGUGAGUGAUGAAGGCCUUCGGGUUGUAAACUCUUUCGCGCACGACGAUAAUGACGGUAGUGCGAGAAGAAGCUCGGCUAACUUCGUGCCAGCAGCCGC